GAUGAACGCUGGCGGCGUGCCUAAUACAUGCAAGUCGAGCGAACAGACGAGGAGCUUGCUCCUCUGACGUUAGCGGCGGACGGGUGAGUAACACGUGGAUAACCUACCUAUAAGACUGGGAUAACUUCGGGAAACCGGAGCUAAUACCGGAUAAUAUAUUGAACCGCAUGGUUCAAUAGUGAAAGACGGUUUUGCUGUCACUUAUAGAUGGAUCCGCGCCGCAUUAGCUAGUUGGUAAGGUAACGGCUUACCAAGGCAACGAUGCGUAGCCGACCUGAGAGGGUGAUCGGCCACACUGGAACUGAGACACGGUCCAGACUCCUACGGGAGGCAGCAGUAGGGAAUCUUCCGCAAAGGGCGAAAGCCUGACGGAGCAACGCCGCGUGAAUGAUGAAGGUCUUCGGAUCGUAAAACUCUGUUAUUAGGGAAGAACAAAUGUGUAAGUAACUAUGCACGUCUUGACGGUACCUAAUCAGAAAGCCACGACUAACUACGUG
rnacentral:rRNA from 1 species